rnacentral:rRNA from 1 species
GAUGAACGCUGGCGGCGUGCCUAAUACAUGCCAGUCGAGCGAACAGACGAGGAGCUUGCUCCUCUGACGUUAGCGGCGGACGUGUGAGUAACACGUGGAUAACCUACCUAUAAUACUGGGAUAACUUCGGGAAACCGGAUCUAAUACCGGAUAAUAUAUUGAACCGCAUGGUUCAAUAGUGAAAGACGGUUUUGCUGUCCCUUAUAGAUGGAUCCGCGCCGCAUUAGCUAGUUGGUAAGGUAACGGCUUACCAAGGCGACGAUGCUUAGCCGACCUGAGAGGGUGAUCGGCCACACUGGAACUGAGACACGGUACAGACGACUACGGGAGGAAGCAGUAGGGAAUAGUCCGCAAUGGGCGAAAGCAUGACGGAGCAACGCCGAGUGAGUGAUGAAGGUCUUAGGAUCGUAAAACUCUGUUAUUAGGGAAGAACAAAUGUGUAAGAAACUAUGCACGUCUUGACGGUAACUAAUCAGAAAGCCACGGCUAACUACGUG